rnacentral:rRNA from 1 species
CGCAUCUGUGCAUGCAGCAUAUCAAUAAGCGGAGGAAAAGAAACUAACAAGGAUUCCCUUAGUAACGGCGAGUGAAGCGGGAAGAGCUCAAAUUUGAAAUCUUCAAGGUUUUACCUUGACGAAUUGUAGUUUAAAGAAGUGUUUUCUGCUGAAGUUUUGGUAAAAGUUCUUUGGAAUAGGACAUCAUAGAGGGUGAGAAUCCCGUAUUUGACCAUUUACUUUCAGCUUUGUGAUACACUUUCAAAGAGUCGGAUUGUUUGGGAAUGCAGUCCAAAAUGGGUGGUAAAUUUCAUCUAAAGCUAAAUAUUGGCGAGAGACCGAUAGCGAACAAGUACCGUGAGGGAAAGAUGAAAAGAACUUUGAAAAGAGAGUUAAACAGUACGUGAAAUUGUCAAAAGGGAAGCGUUUGACACCAGUGUUGUUUUCUCGAAAAUCAAUUAAAAAUGGCUCGAUUUUGUAUUGCUGAGACCUUAAAAGCUCACUGUACAUUUUUCGUGUCUUUUUUAAUGCACUUUUCGUUUAACAAGUCAACAUCAGUUUCUUUUGUUGUAAAAGGGUCAUUGGAAGGUGGCUUUCUUUUCGGAGAAAGUGUUUAUAGCCUUUGGCCUCUGCAAUCGGAAUGAGACUGAGGUCUGCAGCGUAGACUCUUCGGGGUUAGAUACAUUUGUGCUAAGUUAUAGCUUUUUAUAGACAACUUGUUGACUAUAAUUAGUCUUGUAGCUUACUCGCUUAUGCUAUUUUACCUACGCUUAGGAUGUUGAUAGUCACAGCGUGUAC